CCCUUAGAUGUCCUGGGCUGCACGCGCGCUACACUGGAAGUUACGGAUUGAGAUACUACCUUGUCCGAAAUGGUCCGGGUAAUCACCUAAAAGCUUGUCAUAAUUGGAAUGGAUUAUUGUAACUAGUAAUCCUGAACGAGGAAUUCCUAGUAAGUCCCAGUCAACAGCUGGUACUGAUUACGUCCCUGCCCUUUGUACACACCGCCCGUCGCUACUACUGAUUGGACGUUUAAGCAAGAUUUUUAAACACUGACAGUGUGUAGUUCACGCUAUACUACAGUGAGAAGAAGAAGACCGAGCUUACUUGUCUAGAGGAAGUAAAAGUCGUAACA
rnacentral:rRNA from 1 species